AUUGAGUAUUCUAGCUCAAAUUUACUAUUUAAGAGGAUUCUACAUGUAAAUAUUAGUGUGAAUAGGGUUGAGUUUUUAGAUAAAAUUUAGUCUAAGUUUGGUCGCAGUAGAGAGGAUUAUUUUUUUAGGAAACUAAGAAAUAGCUAAAUUUAUAAUAUGAACAAAGUUUGUGCCAGCAGUUGCGGCUAUACUUACUAUGUAAUAGUAAAUUUUUAGUUUUAGGUAGAUUUGUAAAAGAGUUAAAGUAAAAAUUUAUUAGGUGAAAUUUUAAAUUUUUUUUAAUUUGUUUUUUUGGUUGAUUUUAUGAAAAUUUUGUUUUAAACUAGGAUUAGAUACCCUACUAUAAAAAAGGUAGAUUUAAAGUACUAAAUUAAUAAUAGUUAUGUUCUUGAAAAUUAAGGGAAUUGGCGGUUUUCUAGUCUAUUCAGAGGAACUUGUCCUGUAAUUGAUAGUCCACGAUUAAAUUUACUUGUUUAAAGAAUUUACAUAUCGCCGUAGACGGAACAUUUUGGAAGAAAAAUAAUGUUCAAUAUUUUUAGUGAAUUAAUAUCAGGUCAAGGUGUAGUUUAUAAAUAAGAAGAGAUGAGUUACAAUAAGUUUAUUUAUACGAAUAUAAUGUUUAAAAGUUUAUAGAAGGUGGAUUUGAAGGUAAUUUUAAAAAUUUUUUUAAGAUGAUUUUAGCUCUAGAAUAUGCACAUAUCGCCCGUCGCUUUCAUUUAAGGUGAAAUAAGUCGUAACAAAGUAGAUGUACUGGAAAGUGUCUCUAGAAAGAC
rnacentral:ncRNA from 1 species